rnacentral:rRNA from 1 species
AGAGUUUGAUCAUGGCUCAGGACGAACGCUGGCGGCGUGCCUAAUACAUGCAAGUCGAGCGGACCAAUUAAGAAGCUUGCUUUUUGAUUGGUUAGCGGCGGACGGGUGAGUAACACGUGGGUAACCUGCCCUAUAGACUGGGAUAACUCGCGGAAACGUGAGCUAAUACCGGAUAACACAUCAAAGUGCAUGCUUUGAUGUUGAAAGAUGGUUCUGCUAUCACUAUAGGAUGGGCCCGCGGCGCAUUAGCUAGUUGGUGGGGUAACGGCCUACCAAGGCGACGAUGCGUAGCCGACCUGAGAGGGUGAUCGGCCACACUGGGACUGAGACACGGCCCAGACUCCUACGGGAGGCAGCAGUAGGGAAUCUUCCACAAUGGGCGAAAGCCUGAUGGAGCAACGCCGCGUGAGCGAAGAAGGUCUUCGGAUCGUAAAGCUCUGUUGUAAGGGAAGAACAAGCGCAGCAGUAAC